rnacentral:rRNA from 1 species
GACGAACGCUGGCGGCGUGCUUAACACAUGCAAGUCGAACGAAGAGCGAUGGAAGCUUGCUUCUAUCAAUCUUAGUGGCGAACGGGUGAGUAACGCGUAAUCAACCUGCCCUUCAGAGGGGGACAACAGUUGGAAACGACUGCUAAUACCGCAUACGAUCUAAUCUCGGCAUCGAGGAUAGAUGAAAGGUGGCCUCUACAUGUAAGCUAUCACUGAAGGAGGGGAUUGCGUCUGAUUAGCUAGUUGGAGGGGUAACGGCCCACCAAGGCGAUGAUCAGUAGCCGGUCUGAGAGGAUGAACGGCCACAUUGGGACUGAGACACGGCCCAGACUCCUACGGGAGGCAGCAGUGGGGAAUCUUCCGCAAUGGACGAAAGUCUGACGGAGCAACGCCGCGUGAGUGAUGACGGCCUUCAGGUUGUAAAGCUCUGUUAAUCGGGACGAAAGGCCUUCUUGCGAAUAGUGAGAAGGAUUGACGGUACCGGAAUAGAAAGCCACGGCUAACUACGUG